UUGAAACCUCAUCUCAAUUUCACCAUAUCUCCGCACUUCUGUAUGUGUAAGCAUAUUGUGCUAGCUUCUUGUUUAGUAUGGUGAUCCCUGGGUGCAGGACAGGCUAGACUGGAAAAGUCAGAGAUCCCAUUUCAUCCUUCAGUAACCAAAUAGACCUGAGCGCGCUCUGCCUCCUGCUGACAAACCUACCGAUCUUUGGCCUGGAAAGAGAUGUGCUAACUUCCUUGUUAGGUCUGCAAGAAGAGAACGUGACAUAAAGAAAGAUGCUAUCUCUAAACCCUGGAAAACAGCGUUCUUACAUAGCCACCAUUCCACUGUUACUUGCUGCUGCCUUCAUUGUUGCUGUAAACAGUGAUUGUGGUGUGCCACCGCGUUUUAAUUUUGCUGAGCUAAAGGAGGAGUACAGAAAUCAGAAUAAGUUUGCUGUUGGUAACAAAGUGGAAUACAACUGUCGCCCAGGUUAUAGCAAGGUACAAAAAUCCAUUCUU